rnacentral:rRNA from 1 species
UCAUGGAAGUAAAAAGUCGUAACAAAGGUUGAUUCUUCCCGCGCACACUUGCGGAAGCCUUGCAGCUGGAGACAGUAGCCCAACGACUAUAAACAAUCCGGUGCCUCAUGCAAGUCAGCUCCGGCUGGCGACACUUUCGAAUUGCGGGGAACCCCUAAGAGCCCUUCACACCAAGCCAGCCUGGGAAACCAGCUGGUGGCCCAUUGGAAACCAUGGGGUACGGUAACAGUUGAAGGGAUGAUCCGGCACCGCCAGGUGUCCGGUGAAAUGGGCAAUCCGCAGCGAAGCCCCUGGCGUUAAUGGUAGCGGUCUGCCGCAGCCAAACGUGGGGAACGUUCACAGACUAAGUGGAAGUGGGUGGAGCGCUGCAAAGCUCUCUGCUUAAGAUAUAGUCGGGCCCCCUCGGAAACAUGGGGGAUGAACAAACGUUCCGUAGGUGAACCUGCGGAAGGAUCAUUAUCUAUUUUAAUGGUGUUGGUCGCGGCCCCCGGCGGAAGUGUCCCCGGGCGGUAGAGGUAACACUCUCACGCGGCCACAUGCCUUCAUCCUUUUUUUACGAGCACCUUUCGUUCUCCUUCGGUGGGGCAACCUGCCGUUGGAACCUAUCAAAACCUUUUUUUGCAUUUAGCAUUACCUGUUCUGAUACAAACAAUCGUUACAACUUUCAACAAUGGAUCUCUUGGCUCUGGCAUCGAUGAAGAACGCAGCGAAAUGCGAUAAGUAGUGUGAAUUGCAGAAUUCAGUGAAUCAUCGAAUCUUUGAACGCACAUUGCGCCCCUUGGUAUUCCAUGGGGCAUGCCUGUUCGAGCGUCAUCUACACCCUCAAGCUCUGCUUGGUGUUGGGCGUCUGUCCCGCCUCUGCGCGCGGACUCGUCCCAAAUUCAUUGGCAGCGGUCCUUGCCUCCUCUCGCGCAGCACAUUGCGCUUCUCGAGGUGCGCGGGCCGCGUCCACGAAGCAACAUUACCGUCUUUGACCUCGGAUCAGGUAGGGAUACCCGCUGAACUUAAGCAU